UACAGAGGGAGCGAGCGUUGUUCGGAAUUACUGGGCGUAAAGGGCGCGUAGGCGGUCCGAUAAGUCCCGUGUGAAAUCCCUCGGCUCAACUGAGGAACGGCACGGGAAACUGACGGGCUUGAGUUCGGGAGAGGGAAGCGGAAUUCCGGGUGUAGCGGUGAAAUGCGUAGAUAUCCGGAGGAACACCGGUGGCGAAGGCGGCUUCCUGGACCGACACUGACGCUGAGGCGCGAAAGCUAGGGGAGCAAACGGG
rnacentral:rRNA from 1 species